GACGAACGCUGGCGGCGUGCUUAACACAUGCAAGUCGAACGAAGAGCGAUGGAAGCUUGCUUCUAUCAAUCUUAGUGGCGAACGGGUGAGUAACGCGUAAUCAACCUGCCCUUCAGAGGGGGACAACAGUAGGAAACGACUGCUAAUACCGCAUACGACCUAAUCUCGGCAUCGAGGAUAGAUGAAAGGUGGCCUCUAAAUGUAAGCUAUCACUGAAGGAGGGGAUUGCGUCUGAUGAGCUAGUUGGAGGGGUAGGGGCCCACCUAGGCGAUGAUCAGUAGCCGGUCUGAGUGGAUGAACGGCCGCAUUGGGACUGAGACACGGCCCAUACUGCUACGGGAGGCAGCAGUGGGGAAACUUCCGCAAUGGACGAAAGACUUUCGGAGCAACGCCGCGUGAGUGAUGACGGCCUUCGGGUUGUAAAGCUCUGUUAAUCGGGACGAAAGGCCUUCUUGCGAAUAGUGAGAAGGAUUGACGGUACCGGAAUAGAAAGCCACGGCUAACUACGUG
rnacentral:rRNA from 1 species